UACCAAAAUACGGAAGAAACUACUUUUUGAAGACAUUCGCCAUCAGGAUUACCUUCAUAGAAUGCCAAUCGAGAAAAACAGGAAAAGUGCCCCCAUGUUUGAACACCGCGUUAUGGAAACAGAGUUCCAAUACCUGCAAUUACCUGAAAAAUGGAACAAACAACAUCUGGUACACAGUUGGUUUGGGUUAUCAUUCUUCACUGAGAUGGUGCGAUGCAUUUCGGAACUGUUAUGGGUCUAACGAUCUCAGAAAUCGGUGCCGUCGUGAUUUUGACUUUUACUUUCGAUUUCCACCAACUUUUACAGUAGAAAUACUCAGUUAUUUACCUCACGCACGGAUCCAGGUCAAUUACGUUUGUAGCGGUCGUUACAUCUUUGCUGUUAAUGUGAUUCGGUGCAACUCUGAAUCAAAACGAAAUGACAGUUUAGUAGUAAAGAAUGAUAACGAUGAUAGUGAUGAUGACAAUGCUGAAGCUCCACAGACUUUGAACUCUCAGGUACUGAACGCCAUUGGCCUCCUUGACAUUGAAAGAGAGGGA